UAUAGAUACCCUGGUAGUCCACGCCGUAAACGAUGAGUGCUAAGUGUUAGAGGGUUUCCGCCCUUUAGUGCUGAAGUUAACGCAUUAAGCACUCCGCCUGGGGAGUACGGCCGCAAGGCUGAAACUCAAAGGAAUUGACGGGGGCCCGCACAAGCGGUGGAGCAUGUGGUUUAAUUCGAAGCAACGCGAAGAACCUUACCAGGUCUUGACAUCCUCUGACAACCCUAGAGAUAGGGCUUCCCCUUCGGGGGCAGAGUGACAGGCGGUGCAUGGUUGUCGUCAGCUCGUGUCGUGAGAUGUUGGGUUAAGUCCCGCAACGAGCGCAACCCUUGAUCUUAGUUGCCAUCAUUCAGUUGGGCACUCUAAGGUGACUGCCGGUGACAAACCGGAGGAAGGUGGGGAUGACGUCAAAUCAUCAUGCCCCUUAUGACCUGGGCUACACACGUGCUACAAUGGACGGUACAAAGAGUCGCGAGACCGCGAGGUGGAGCUAAUCUCAUAAAAACCGUUCUCAGUUCGGAUUGUAGGCUGCAAC
rnacentral:rRNA from 1 species